rnacentral:piRNA from 1 species
UGCAUGAAGGAACAUUGCAUACUUAACGGU